AGAGUUUGAUCCUGGCUCAGAACGAACGCUGGCGGCAGGCUUAACACAUGCAAGUCGAGCGCCCCGCAAGGGGAGCGGCAGACGGGUGAGUAACGCGUGGGGAUGUACCCAAAGGUUCGGAAUAACUCAGGGAAACUUGAGCUAAUACCGUAUGUGCCCGAGAGGGGAAAGAUUUAUCGCCUUUGGAUCAACCCGCGUCAGAUUAGCUAGUUGGUAGGGUAAUGGCCUACCAAGGCGACGAUCUGUAGCUGGUCUGAGAGGAUGAUCAGCCACACUGGGACUGAGACACGGCCCAGACUCCUACGGGAGGCAGCAGUGGGGAAUAUUGGACAAUGGGCGCAAGCCUGAUCCAGCCAUGCCGCGUGAGUGAUGACGGCCUUAGGGUUGUAAAGCUCUUUCGACGGGGACGAUAAUGACGGUACCCGUAGAAGAAGCCCCGGCUAACUUCGUGCCAGCAGCCGCGGUAAUAC
rnacentral:rRNA from 1 species